rnacentral:misc_RNA from 1 species
AAGAUACAUAUGCAUACGUACGCGUGUGGGCAUACUCGGAUCCACCACUGUAGCACACCCUCGGCGAGGACGGUGACCGCGAUGAAAAGCCCCAAAGUAGCUUGCGAGACGCCUCCCUCGCUGUUGUUGUUGAUUUGGUGCGCGUGUGCGCUUCGUUCUUUCCGUGAAGAGAGAAAGAAAGGCGCUGACGAACAACGAAGGACGGCACCACGCAAGCAACUCACCCGUGUUCGCAGACACACGCACAAAAACGUGUUACGUAGCUCCCCCCCUCCCCACUAGGGGGAUACAAAGUGGUAUGGACACACCAGUGCACACGGUGCAGGAAGCAAAGCAGUGGCUUCCGCUCUUGAGCUGCUCCGAAGAGGGGGUUGCUGACACGCCUGUGAGGGCGCGUGUCGAGUGACCUCUCUCUGCCCCUGCUCCUAGCAACACUUCGCCUCUGCUGUUCAAGAAAGCCCUCAUCGCGCUUCGCCACUCUUAAGUUUUUUCUGUCAAGGUGUCCGGUCUCUGCCAUGCAGCACGAGCUAAACUCCGCUUUAACCAACCCUCUACAAGUCUCUUACGUGCUGCGAAGCAGCGGCAGGCACGUCGCUACGGCUGUGCGCAGACACAGUCAUCUGAGCACAGCCCCUGCCUCAAGCCCCACCCACCACCAGCAGGGCAGUGUGGGGGCCGGGUGUGGGGUACGCUCGACUCACGCCGACACGCUGCCCAUCACAUGGAUGGCGCAAGCGUGUUCACGGCCGCGGGUCGCACCGACGCAGCGCCGUCCAGGGCCUGGCCGCCGGCGUCAGUGGCGAUGCAUCGCUCUGACCUCCCCUACGGCGUCGGCGCUUGACCCUGUCACGACCGGAAGCGGCUCCGCAUUGGGCAGGACUAGAGGGGGUGGGGUGCCGCUUGGCUUCCCCAUACCGAGGGAGUACCGGACCCUGAUGCCAUGCCGGGGUUUCCUUUUCCACCAGAGUUUACCAUUUAAAAAAAAAAACGUUUGCAUGACGCAAAGCCGCGCGGAGAAGCAGGCGCGCUCCACGGGCACGCCGCUACACAGAGAGUGACACCCGUGACGCGAGAGUCUCCAAGACCCCUCGCACCGACGCCACCGUGGACUGCGACGGAAACCCUCAC